CAAUAAGAGUGUUUAUGGCACUCUUCAAAAAAUCCAUACCCACCUUGUGUGCAACGUAAGAAGAGAAAAAGAAGAUGCGAGUCAUGGGGAAACCCAAGUCUUGCUCCCUUUCUUUUUUCUUUUCCACAUACACCUUUCUAUUAGUUCCUAUUGUCUGAAGCUGUUAGAGAAUGACUAAUUCUUAAACA
rnacentral:misc_RNA from 1 species